rnacentral:rRNA from 1 species
CCUACGGGAGGCAGCAGUGAGGAAUAUUGGUCAAUGGACGGAAGUCUGAACCAGCCAUGCCGCGUGCAGGAAGACGGCUCUAUGAGUUGUAAACUGCUUUUGUACAAGGGUAAACCUGAAUACGUGUAUUCAGCUGAAAGUACUGUACGAAUAAGGAUCGGCUAACUCCGUGCCAGCAGCCGCGGUAAUACGGAGGAUCCAAGCGUUAUCCGGAUUUAUUGGGUUUAAAGGGUGCGUAGGCGGAUUGAUAAGUUAGAGGUGAAAUGUCCGAGCGUAACUCGGGAACUGCCUCUAAUACUGUUGAUCUAGAGAGUAGAUGCGGUAGGCGGAAUGUAUGGUGUAGCGGGGAAAUGCUUAGAGAUCAUACAGAACAACGAUUGCGAAGGCAGCUUACCAAUCUAUAUCUGACGUUGAGGCACGAAAGCGUGGGGAGCAAACAGGAUUAGAUACCCCAGUAGUC